UACGUAGGGUGCAAGCGUUGUCCGGAAUUAUUGGGCGUAAAGAGCUCGUAGGCGGUUUGUCGCGUCUGCUGUGAAAACUGGAGGCUCAACCUCCAGCCUGCAGUGGGUACGGGCAGACUAGAGUGCGGUAGGGGAGAUUGGAAUUCCUGGUGUAGCGGUGGAAUGCGCAGAUAUCAGGAGGAACACCGGUGGCGAAGGCGGGAUCCUGGGCCAGUACUGACGCUGAGGAGCGAAAGCGUGGGGAGCAAACAGG
rnacentral:rRNA from 1 species